UACGUAGGGCGCAAGCGUUGUCCGGAAUUAUUGGGCGUAAGGAGCUCGUAGGCGGUUUGUCGCGUCGGGAGUGAAAACUCAGGGCUUAACCCUGAGCCUGCUUCCGAUACGGGCAGACUAGAGGUAUGCAGGGGAGAACGGAAUUCCUGGUGUAGCGGUGAAAUGCGCAGAUAUCAGGAGGAACACCGGUGGCGAAGGCGGUUCUCUGGGCAUUACCUGACGCUGAGGAGCGAAAGUGUGGGGAGCGAACAGG
rnacentral:rRNA from 1 species